UACGGAGGGUGCAAGCGUUAUCCGGAUUCACUGGGUUUAAAGGGUGCGUAGGCGGGUUUUUAAGUCAGUGGUGAAAGCUUCCCGCUCAACGGGAAAACUGCCAUUGAUACUAUUAAUCUUGAAUUCAGUUGAGGUCGGCGGAAUGUGUCGUGUAGAGGUGAAAUUCUUAGAUAUGACACAGGACACCAAUUGCGAAGGCAGCUGGCUAAACUGAUAUUGACGCUGAGGCACGAAAGCGUGGGGAUCAAACAGG
rnacentral:rRNA from 1 species